CACGGGGGGAGCAAGCGUUGUUCGGAAUCACUGGGCGUAAAGGGCGUGUAGGCGGUUUGGUAAGUGGGAUGUGAAAUGCCUCGGCUCACCCGAGGACCGGCAUCCCAAACUGCCAAGCUUGAGUAUGGGAGAGGAUGUGGGAAUUCCUGGUGUAGCGGUGAAAUGCGUAGAUAUCAGGAGGAACACCGGUGGCGAAGGCGCACAUCUGGCCCAAUACUGACACUGAGGCGCGAAAGCUAGGGGAGCAAACGGG
rnacentral:rRNA from 1 species